UACGUAGGUGGCAAGCGUUGUCCGGAUUUACUGGGCGUAAAGGGCGUGCAGGCGGUUUGUUAAGUGCAGGGUGAAAGCUCCCGGCUCAACUGGGAGAGGUCCUUGCAUACUGGCGAACUCGAGGGAGGCAGAGGAAAGUGGAAUUCCCGGUGUAGUGGUGAUAUGCGUAGAUAUCGGGAGGAACACCUGUGGCGAAGGCGGGUCUCUGGGCAACAACUGACGCUGAGGAGCGAAAGCGUGGGGAGCGAACAGG
rnacentral:rRNA from 1 species